CAUCAAACAAGAAAACAAUGGCUCCAAGAGGUACUCGGUUCUUUAUUGCAGUUUCUGUUGAUGUUAUCAUGUUACCAUUGAGUAUAAUAUGGUAUCUCUGCUUGGCCAAGGGUUGUUUGGUGGUUCUUGUUUCAAAUAUGUAUUGUGGUAGGAGAUCUCUUCAAUUUAUGUUUAGUUUAGGCUUUUGAAUGUAUGUUUAGUAUUUUCAUUAGCUUCCCUUUUUG
rnacentral:lncRNA from 1 species